rnacentral:rRNA from 1 species
UACGUGGGGUGCAAGCGUUGUCCGGAAUUAUUGGGUCGUAAAGAGCUAGCGUAGGCGGUUUGUCGCGUCUGCUGUGAAACGCGAGGCUCGAACCUCGCGCCUGCAGUGGGUACGGGCAGACUAGAGUGCGGUAGGGGAGAUUGGAAUUCCUGGUGUAAGCGGUGGAAUGCGUAGAGAUCGGAAAGAACACCAACGGCGAAAGCACU